rnacentral:sRNA from 1 species
UGCAUCUGCAGCCCAUGAGGAAGAGAACCUCCGGGGGCAGGGAGGUUCGACUCGAGCGAAGCGAGAGAACGUUGCGCCAGCAACGGCCCGCAGGGCGAGCCAGGAAGUGGCGAGUAAUCCUCUAUCACCGACCA